UACGGAGGGUGCAAGCGUUAUCCGGAUUCACUGGGUUUAAAGGGUGCGUAGGUUGAUGGGGAAGUCAGUGGUGAAAUACUCCGACUCAAUCGGAGAACUGCCGUUGAUACUAUCCAUCUUGAAUACGGUGGAGGCGGGCGGAAUGCGUCAUGUAGUGGUGAAAUACUUAGAUAUGACGCAGAACACCUAAUUGCGAAGGCAGCUCGCUACACCGGCAUUGACACUGAGGCACGAAAGCUAGGGGAGCAAACAGGA
rnacentral:rRNA from 1 species